UGGGGAAGAAACCCUGGUUCUUGGGAUUGGGGACGUGAGCUGCGGCGGCGGCACUAGGGGUUUCUGUUAGAGUGCUGGAACCAGGGGUUUCGAACGGCAUGGUUUUGCUCAGUGAUGCAUUCGCUGAAACGAGUGCAACGGCGUUAGAGGUGUCCUUGAUUUCAAUCGAGGAAGAAGGGUUGAGCCAGAGUGAGGAAGGGUCGUUCUCGCCCUGAUUCAACGGCCAGAAACCCGCGUCUGGGUUGUUGAAGUUGAACAAAUCCCGCACUUUCUUCAUGAGAUCGGAGUUCUGGAAAAUCACCUCCGUAGAAGCCAGCUCAACGACGCCGUUUGCGGACGGUAUG
rnacentral:lncRNA from 1 species